AUGGUUUUUUCUCCUUUGUUCUUUCUCUGUGCUUUUCCUUUGUCUUUUUGAUCUCCUUUGUGCAGCUUUCCCAAUCAGCAGUAACAGGUACCAGGCUGCAUGGCUGUUACUUUGAUGAAAUCAAUGCCAUCAUCUGACACCAAUCAGCUACAUCGAUGAUAAAGGUAUCUUUCCAGGAGCAACUUCAUUAUCUGUGCAUGGGUAUGUACAGCUUGUGGGACCAUAAAAAAACCUCUCAGUGUAAAGGCAAAGAGCUUUCUCCUUCUGGGCAUAGAUGGAGUCAAGAGACUGAAUGAACCAUCCACAUCUUGCUGCAUUGUCUUCCAUUAUCUCUCAGCCUUUACAUCAGAAACACCAGAAGAAAACAUGGUGAAAUGCAGACCCUCCAUGUGCCACAGGCUGCUGGGAAUGACAGGACACAUUCUUCCAGGGCUGCCUGAUGACUGCUCCAGAAGGUACACUACAGGAGUGGAUAAGGACCCACUAGAAGCCAGGAAGUCUCUAAUGUAUUGUCCUUUCAAGCAAACAGCUUUAGCUUUUUAAUUCUCCACUUACAUUAAUCAUGCCUGUCAUGAGCCACUUGGAGAGCUGCAGCCACCUCAGUGUGGCCUGCAAAGCUUCCUGCUUCACUCAGAGCUCUGCUUCUUCAAGUUUCCCUUCCCAAUGUUUGUAUGAAGCCUACAGGAG
rnacentral:lncRNA from 1 species